rnacentral:rRNA from 1 species
CGGUAACAUUUCUAGCUUGCUAGAAGAUGACGAGUGGCGGACGGGUGAGUAAUGCUUGGGAACUUGCCUUUGCGAGGGGGAUAACAGUUGGAAACGACUGCUAAUACCGCAUAAUGUCUUCGGACCAAACGGGGCUUCGGCUCCGGCGCAAAGAGAGGCCCAAGUGAGAUUAGCUAGUUGGUAAGGUAACGGCUUACCAAGGCGACGAUCUCUAGCUGUUCUGAGAGGAAGAUCAGCCACACUGGGACUGAGACACGGCCCAGACUCCUACGGGAGGCAGCAGUGGGGAAUAUUGCACAAUGGGGGAAACCCUGAUGCAGCCAUGCCGCGUGUGUGAAGAAGGCCUUCGGGUUGUAAAGCACUUUCAGUUGUGAGGAAAAGUUAGUAGUUAAUACCUGCUAGCCGUGACGUUAACAACAGAAGAAGCACCGGCUAACUCCGUGCCAGCAGCCGCGGUAAUACGGAGGGUGCGAGCGUUAAUCGGAAUUACUGGGCGUAAAGCGCACGCAGGCGGUUUGUUAAGCUAGAUGUGAAAGCCCCGGGCUCAACCUGGGAUGGUCAUUUAGAACUGGCAGACUAGAGUCUUGGAGAGGGGAGUGGAAUUCCAGGUGUAGCGGUGAAAUGCGUAGAUAUCUGGAGGAACAUCAGUGGCGAAGGCGACUCCCUGGCCAAAGACUGACGCUCAUGUGCGAAAGUGUGGGUAGCGAACAGGAUUAGAUACCCUGGUAGUCCACACCGUAAACGCUGUCUACUAGCUGUGUGUGUCUUUAAGACGUGCGUAGCGAAGCUAACGCGCUAAGUAGACCGCCUGGGGAGUACGGCCGCAAGGUUAAAAACUCAAAUGAAUUGACGGGGGCCCGGCACAAGCGGUGG